rnacentral:rRNA from 1 species
GAUGAACGCUGGCGGCGUGCCUAAUACAUGCAAGUCGAGCGAACAGACGAGGAGCUUGCUCCUCUGACGUUAGCGGCGGACGGGUGAGUAACACGUGGAUAACCUACCUAUAAGACUGGGAUAACUUCGGGAAACCGGAGCUAAUACCGGAUAAUAUAUUGAACCGCAUGGUUCAAUAGUGAAAGACGGUUUUGCUGUCACUUAUAGAUGGAUCCGCGCCGCAUUAGCUAGUUGGUAAGGUAACGGCUUACCAAGGCAACGAAGCGUAGCCGACCUGAGAGGGUGAUCGGCAACACUGCAACUGAGACGCGGUCCAGGCUCCUACGGGAGGCAGCAGUAGGGAAUCUUCCACAAUGGGCGAAAGCUUGACGGAGCAACGCCGCGUAAGUGAUGAAGGUCUUAGGAUCGUAAAACUCUGUUAUUAGGGAAGAACAAAUGUGUAAGUAACUAUGCGCGUCUUGACGGUACCUAAUCAGAAAGCCACGGCUAACUCCGUG